GUCGAACGAUGACGGCCGUGCUUGCACGGUCUGAUUAGUGGCGAACGGGUGAGUAACACGUGAGUAACCUGCCCUCCACUUCGGGAUAACCUCGGGAAAUCGUGGCUAAUACCGGAUAUGAGCACUCAUCGCAUGGUGGGUGUUGGAAAGAUUUAUCGGUGGAGGAUGGACUCGCGGCCUAUCAGUUUGUUGGUGAGGUGAUGGCUCACCAAGACGGUGACGGGUAGCCGGCCUGAGAGGGCGACCGGCCACACUGGGACUGAGACACGGCCCAGACCCCUACGGGAGGCAGCAGUGGGGAAUAUUGCACAAUGGGCGGAAGCCUGAUGCAGCGACGCCGCGUGAGGGAUGACGGCCUUCGGGUUGUAAACCUCUUUCAGUAGGGAAGAAGCGAAAGUGACGGUACCUGCAGAAGAAGCGCCGGCUAACUACGUGCCAGCAGCCGCGGUAAUACGUAGGGCGCAAGCGUUGUCCGGAAUUAUUGGGCGUAGAGAGCUUGUAGGAGGCUUGUCGCGUCUGCCGUGAAAACCCGAGGCUCAACCUCGGGCGUGCGGUGGGUACGGGCAGGCUAGAGUGUGGUAG
rnacentral:rRNA from 1 species